rnacentral:misc_RNA from 1 species
GAUGAAGAACGUAGCGAAAUGCGAUAAGUAAUGCGAAUUGCAGAAUUCCAGUGAGUCAUCGAAUCUUUGAACGCACAUUGCGCCCGCCAGUAUUCUGGCGGGCAUGCCUGUCCGAGCGUCAUUUCAACCCUCGAACCCCUCCGGGGGGUCGGCGUUGGGGAUCGGCCCUGCCUCUUGGCGGUGGCCGUCUCCGAAAUACAGUGGCGGUCUCGCCGCAGCCUCUCCUGCGCAGUAGUUUGCACACUCGCAUCGGGAGCGCGGCGCGUCCACAGCCGUUAAACACCCAACUUCUGAAAUGUUGACCUCGGAUCAGGUAGGAAUACCCGCUGAACUUAAGCAUAUCAAUAAGCGGAGGA